rnacentral:misc_RNA from 1 species
CCUUUGGUUGUGGGUCAUGGCUUGCCAUGACUCUGCAGCUUCAACCCUUGAUUUUCGAGCACCUUUUGUUUCCUUGGUAGGGUGACCUACCAUAGGACCUCGUCAAACCAACUUGCAAUUGAAAUCAGCGUCUGAAACUUUGAAUUAUUA